rnacentral:rRNA from 1 species
AGUAACGGCGAGUGAAGCGGCAAAAGCUCAAAUUUGAAAUCUGGCGUCUUCGACGUCCGAGUUGUAAUUUGAAGAAGGCAACUUUGUAGCUGGUCCUUGUCUAUGUUCCUUGGAACAGGACGUCAUAGAGGGUGAGAAUCCCGUGUGGCGAGGAUCCCAGUUAUUUGUAAAGUGCUUUCGACGAGUCGAGUUGUUUGGGAAUGCAGCUCUAAGUGGGUGGUAAAUUCCAUCUAAAGCUAAAUAUUGGCGAGAGACCGAUAGCGAACAAGUACAGUGAUGGAAAGAUGAAAAGAACUUUGAAAAGAGAGUGAAAAAGUACGUGAAAUUGUUGAAAGGGAAGGGCAUUUGAUCAGACAUGGCGUUUGCUUCGGCUUUCGCUGGGCCAGCAUCAGUUUUAGCGGUUGGAUAAAUCCUCGGGAAUGUGGCUCUGCUUCGGUAGAGUGUUAUAGCCCGUGGGAAUACAGCCAGCUGGGACUGAGGAUUGCGACUUUUGUCAAGGAUGCUGGCGUAAUGGUUAAAUGCCGCCCGUCUUGAAACACGGACCAAGGAGUCUAACGUCUAUGCGAGUGUUUGGGUGUAAAACCCGUACGCGUAAUGAAAGUGAACGUAGGUGAGGGCCCGCAAGGGUGCAUCAUCGACCGAUCCUGAUGUCUUCGGAUGGAUUUGAGUAAGAGCAUAGCUGUUGGGACCCGAAAGAUGGUGAACUAUGCCUGAAUAGGGUGAAGCCAGAGGAAACUCUGGUGGAGGCUCGUAGCGGUUCUGACGUGCAAAUCGAUCGUCGAAUUUGGGUAUAGGGGCGAAAGACUAAUCG